rnacentral:misc_RNA from 1 species
AUAGCCUUUAAUCUGUGUUAAUAGAAAAAAUAAAAUAAACUGAAUUGAUUUUUAUAAAAAUAAAAUCGAAUCAAUGGAAUUAUUAAAUAAAUCGAAUUGAAAUUUUUAAUUCGAAUAAUUCGGUUUAAACCGAAUUUUGCUCAGCCCAUCCUCCUCCACGCAUCCAGUUUCGGGCAGUCCCACCGCUGCAGCCAACCAGCCAUAACAAAGAAAAAAAUCCCUUAUUUCAACCACUUGAAAUUAUUUACUUCAAUUCUAUAAUUUUUGAUUAAGUGAUUUUUGCCAAUUAAUAAAGGCAACCAUCGCUCGACUUGAAUCCUUCGAAAACGAUUAUGUGGGGAUGGAAAUGGUGGAAAGUAAUUAUGAUGAUAAGGAGGCUUCCCUCGAUGAUGAUGAUGAUGAUGAU